rnacentral:tRNA from 1 species
GCGGUCGUGGCGAAAUAGGCGAUACGCGCUGGGUUUAGAUCCCAGUGGGGUAAUACCCGUGGGGGUUCGAGUCCCCCCGACCGCACCA